rnacentral:rRNA from 1 species
UACGUAGGGACCAAGCGUUGUUCGGAUUUACUGGGCGUAAAGGGUUCGUAGGUGGCUUGCUAAGUCAGACGUGAAAUCCCUCAGCUUAACUGGGGAACUGCGUCUGAUACUGGCGAGCUUGAGUGCAGGAGAGGAACGCGGAAUUCCAGGUGUAGCGGUGAAAUGCGUAGAUAUCUGGAGGAACACCGGUGGCGAAGGCGGCAUCCUGGACCAACACUGACGCUGAGUGAGCGAAAGCCAGGGGAGCAAACGGG